AUUUUAAUUUUAUACUUAUUAAUUUUAAGUGAGUGCCGAACAAGAUAACAAAAUUGGAGUACGUGGACGCUUUCAAUUAUGGAUACUCACCAGCCGAGCAUCGGUGGGCAGGUAAUACCGAAGGCGAGUAGCCAAACUCCAAGAAUCAUUAACAAUGCCAAUCGUUUGCAACGCCACUUUUUCGAAUAUGUCAACGGUUGUGUCACUGCGAGAUACCUAAGUACAAAGCAAUAAAAACUGAGUAAAUGAAAACAAAAACGAAGCGGCAUAUUGUGUAUAAAGCUGUUGACAAACGUCCCUAGCAAACAGCGCAGCAUGGCGUCAACAGCAAACUUGGAAAUGCCAUUAAAAUUCAGGUUGUUGCUACCAUUGUGCGUUGGACCCCCCCACCCAUUGGAACCCAUUGAAGUUCACUUUAAACGCCAUGCACAGGAUGGGUCAAUAAAAAAUUCUUUGCACAGUA